rnacentral:rRNA from 1 species
UACGAAGGGGGCGAGCGUUGUUCGGAUUUACUGGGCGUAAAGGGCGCGCAGGCGGCUCAUUUUGUCAGGCGUGAAAGCCCCGGGCUUAACCUGGGAACUGCGUUUGAUACGGAUGGGCUAGAGUUCGGGAGAGGAGAGUGGAAUUCCCAGUGUAGAGGUGAAAUUCGUAGAUAUUGGGAAGAACACCGGUGGCGAAGGCGGCUCUCUGGACCGAGACUGACGCUGAGGCGCGAAAGCGUGGGUAGCAAACAGG